UCCCGAUCUUCAUGGGAUCCUCUCCCUGAUCCGCCCCUCUCCCAAGACUCUCCACCUAUAUAAAGCCCGCCUCCCUCGACCCGUUUCCCCCUUUCCCCUCCCCGAGACCCACCGCUACCUCCCCGAUUCGUCGCCAGAGCAGAGCAGCACCGCCGCACCAUUAACGCCCUACCGCAUCACCCCGACCACCCCGCCACCGCCCGAAGCUACCCACACGUUCGCCGCUCUCUUCCACACCUCCCCGUGCCCUCGCUGGAGCCCUAAAUCCACUAGAGCGACAUCACCGCUAACGCCCAAAUGCCAUCGCCGCCUCGAGCUCGCCGCCACCCUUCUGCGACGUUCUCGAGCACGGCUGAGGCAACCGACGUGAUCGUCUUCGUCCGCUGCGUUCUCCCAACAAGUCCACCGAGCUCGCCAACGACCGGAGCGCCGUCCCCAUCGACCACUGAAGUAGGAGCACCUCAUCGGAGUUCAUCGCCGCUGCGGAUUUCUACGACGAGAAAGAGUUACGAUAUAGGGUUACGUUCUACACUCACUUGCCGAUGGCAUUGAUGGGACUCCACACCCGAUUUAUGGUUUCUGCUGAGACUUAUGAGCAUACUGAUCCAGGAAUGGCACAGAUACACAGAUGCUUGGCCGUUUGAGUUCGGGUCGCUACAUAUAUUUACUUCUUUUAUGAUCCAGUGAAAAAAAGUGAGUUAUGAAGAUCUUCAGAAGGAAAACGAUUCAUUGCUUGCUCAACAGAUCAGUUCCGCUCAGGAAGAAUUUAUUCCACCAUGACUGAAAU